AUUGAACGCUGGCGGCAGGCCUAACACAUGCAAGUCGAACGGUAACAGGAAGAAGCUUGCUUCUUUGCUGACGAGUGGCGGACGGGUGAGUAAUGUCUGGGAAACUGCCUGAUGGAGGGGGAUAACUACUGGAAACGGUAGCUAAUACCGCAUAACGUCGCAAGACCAAAAAGGGGGACCUUCGGGCCUCUUGCCAUCGGAGGUGCCCAGAUGGGAUUAGCUAGUAGGUGGGGUAACGGCUCACCUAGGCGACGAUCCCUAGCUGGUCUGAGAGGAUGACCAGCCACACUGGAACUGAGACACGGUCCAGACUCCUACGGGAGGCAGCAGUGGGGAAUAUUGCACAAUGGGCGCAAGCCUGAUGCAGCCAUGCCGCGUGUAUGAAGAAGGCCUUCGGGUUGUAAAGUACUUUCAGCGGGGAGGAAGGGAGUAAAGUUAAUACCUUUGCUCAUUGACGUUACCCGCAGAAGAAGCACCGGCUAACUCCGUG
rnacentral:rRNA from 1 species